rnacentral:rRNA from 1 species
GGACUACCAGGGUAUCUAAUCCUGUUUGAUCCCCACGCUUUCGCGCCUCAGCGUCAGUUACCGGCCAGAUGGCCGCCUUCGCCACCGGUGUUCCUCCUGAUAUCUACGAAUUUCACCUCUACACCAGGAAUUCCACCAUCCUCUCCGGCACUCCAGCCACGCAGUUUCGAGUGCAAUUCCACCUUUAAGAGGUGGGCUUUCACACCCGACAUGCGCGGCCGCCUACGCGCCCUUUACGCCCAAUAAUUCCGAACAACGCUAGCACCCUCUGUAUUACCGCGGCUGCUGGCAC